rnacentral:rRNA from 1 species
CAAUAGCGUUAUUAAAGUUGUUGCGGCUAAAAGCUCGUAGUUGGAUUUCUGCCGAGGACGACCGGUCCGCCCUCUGGGUGAGUAUCUGGCUCGGCCUGGGCAUCUUCUUGGAGAACGUAUCUGCACUUGACUGUGUGGUGCGCUAUCCAGGACUUUUACCUUGAGGAAAUUAAAGUGUUUCAAGCAGGCAUACGCCUUGAAUACAUUAGCACGGAAUAAUAAGAUAGGACCUCGGUUCUAUUUUGUUGGUUUCUAGAGCUGAGGUAAUGAUUAACAGGGAUAGUUGGGGACAUUCGUAUUUAACUGUCAGAGGUGAAGUUCUUGGAUUUGUUAAAGACGGACUACUGCGAAAGCAUUUGCCAAGGAUGUUUUCAUUGAUCCAGAACGAAAGUUAGGGGAUCGAAGACGAUUAGAUACCAU